rnacentral:rRNA from 1 species
GCGAGUGAACCGGGAAGAGCUCAAAUUUGAAAUCUGGCUGUCUUCGAUAGUCCGAGUUGUAAUCUAUAGAAGCGUUUUCCGUGCUGAACUGUGUAUAAGUCCCUUGGAACAGGGUAUCAAAGAGGGUGACAAUCCCGUACUUUACACAAUCAUCAGUGCUCUGUGAUACGUUCUCUACGAGUCGAGUUGUUUGGGAAUGCAGCUCAAAAUGGGUGGUAAAUUCCAUCUAAAGCUAAAUAUUGGCGAGAGACCGAUAGCGAACAAGUACCGUGAGGGAAAGAUGAAAAGCACUUUGGAAAGAGAGUUAAACAGUACGUGAAAUUGUUAAAAGGGAAACGAUUGAAGUCAGUCGUGUUUAUUGGAUUCAGCCGGUCUUCGGUGUACUUCCUUUAAACGGGUCAACAUCAGUUUUGUCCGGUGGAUAAAGGCAGUAGGAAUGUGGCUCCCUCGGGAGUGUUAUAGCCUAUUGUCACAUACACUGGAGGAGACUGAGGACUGCAGCUCGCCUUUUGGCCGGGGUUCGCCCACGUUCGAGCUUAGGAUGUUGACAUAAUGGCUUUAAACGACCC